GAUGAACGCUGACAGCAUGCUUAACACAUGCAAGUCAACUUGAAUUUGGGUUUUUAACUUAGGUUUGGGUGGCGGACGGGUGAGUAACGCGUAAAGAACUUGCCUCACAGCUAGGGACAACAUUUGGAAACGAAUGCUAAUACCUAAUAUUAUGAUAAUAGGGCAUCCUAUAAUUAUGAAAGCUAUAAGCGCUGUGAGAGAGCUUUGCGUCCCAUUAGCUAGUUGGAGAGGUAACGGCUCACCAAGGCGAUGAUGGGUAGCCGGCCUGAGAGGGUGAUCGGCCACAAGGGGACUGAGACACGGCCCUUACUCCUACGGGAGGCAGCAGUGGGGAAUAUUGGACAAUGGACCGAGAGUCUGAUCCAGCAAUUCUGUGUGCACGAUGAAGUUUUUCGGAAUGUAAAGUGCUUUCAGUUGGGAAGAAGCAAAUGACGGUACCAACAGAAGAAGUGACGGCUAAAUACGUG
rnacentral:rRNA from 1 species